rnacentral:misc_RNA from 1 species
GAUGAAGAACGCAGCGAAAUGCGAUAAGUAGUGUGAAUUGCAGAAUUCAGUGAAUCAUCGAAUCUUUGAACGCACAUUGCGCCCCUUGGUAUUCCAUGGGGCAUGCCUGUUCGAGCGUCAUUUGUACCUUCAAGCUCUGCUUGGUGUUGGGUGUUUGUGUCGCCUCUGCGUGUAGACUCGCCUCAAAACAAUUGGCAGCCGGCGUAUUGAUUUCGGAGCGCAGUACAUCUCGCGCUUUGCACUCAUAACGACGACGUCCAAAAGUACAUUUUUACACUCUUGACCUCGGAUCAGGUAGGGAUACACGCUGAACUUAAGCAUAUCAAUAAGCGGAGGA